rnacentral:rRNA from 1 species
AUUGAACGCUGGCGGCAUGCUUUACACAUGCAAGUCGAACGGCAGCACGGACUUCGGUCUGGUGGCGAGUGGCGAACGGGUGAGUAAUACAUCGGAACGUGCCCAGUUGUGGGGGAUAACUACUCGAAAGAGUAGCUAAUACCGCAUGAGAACUGAGGUUGAAAGCAGGGGAUCGUAAGACCUUGCGCAACUGGAGCGGCCGAUGGCAGAUUAGGUAGUUGGUGGGAUAAAAGCUUACCAAGCCGACGAUCUGUAGCUGGUCUGAGAGGACGACCAGCCACACUGGGACUGAGACCCGGCCCAGACUCCUACGGGAGGCAGCAGUUGGGAAUUUUGGACAAUGGGCGAAAGCCUGAUCCAGCAAUGCCGCGUGCAGGAUGAAGGCCUUCGGGUUGUAAACUGCUUUUGUACGGAACGAAAAGCUUCGGGCUAAUACCCUGGAGUCAUGACGGUACCGUAAGAAUAAGCACCGGCUAACUACGUGCCAGCCGCCGCCGUAACAC